rnacentral:misc_RNA from 1 species
UACCAGAGUGCCUUUUGGCUCUCCAACCCACUGUGAACAUACCUACGUUUCCCUCGGCGGGCUCAGCGCGCGGCGGUACUCCCGCCACGCGUCCGCCGAGGGCACCCAAACUCGAAUUUACUACGUGUAUCUCUGAGGGGCGAAAGCCCGUAAAACAAAAUGAAUCAAAACUUUCAACAACGGAUCUCUUGGCUCUGGCAUCGAUGAAGAACGCAGCGAAAUGCGAUAAGUAAUGUGAAUUGCAGAAUUCAGUGAAUCAUCGAAUCUUUGAACGCACAUUGCGCCCGCCGGCACUCCGGCGGGCAUGCCUGUCCGAGCGUCAUUUCAACCCUCGGGCCCUCCCUUCGCGGGGAUCGGGCCCGGCGUUGGGGACCGGAGGCCGCUUCGGCGGCACCCGCCCCCUAAAUUCAGUGGCGGUCGCGCCGCAGCCUCCCCUGCGUAGUAGCACACCUCGCACCGGAGAGCGGCACGGCCACGCCUCGAAACCCCCCAAUUUAUCAAGGUUGACCUCGGAUCAGGUAGGAAUACCCGCUGAACUUAA